CCUACGGGAGGCAGCAGUGGGGAAUAUUGGGCAAUGGGCGCAAGCCUGACCCAGCAACGCCGCGUGAAGGAAGAAGGCAUUCGGGUUGUAAACUUCUUUUCUCAGGGACGAAGAAAGUGACGGUACCUGAGGAAUAAGCCACGGCUAACUACAUGCCAGCAGCCGCGGUAAUACGUCGGUGGCAAGCGUUAUCCGGAUUUAUUGGGUGUAAAGGGCGUGUAGGCGGGAGCGCAAGUCAGAUGUGAAAACCCGGGGCUCAACCCUGAGCCUGCAGUUGAAACUGUGUGUCUUGAGUGCUGGAGAGGCAAUCGGAAUUCGGGGUGUAGCGGUGAAAUGCAUAGAUAUCACGCAGAACCCCGAUUGCGAAGGCAGCAUACUGGCGCCAUACUGACGCUGAGGCACGAAAGUGUGGGUAUCGAACAGGAUUAGAUACCCUUGUAGUC
rnacentral:rRNA from 1 species